rnacentral:rRNA from 1 species
GACGAACGCUGGCGGCGUGCUUAACACAUGCAAGUCGAACGGAAAGGCCCUGCUUUUGUGGGGUGCUCGAGUGGCGAACGGGUGAGUAACACGUGAGUAACCUGCCCUUGUCUUUGGGAUAACUUUUGGAAACUGGGGCUAAUAUCGGAUAGGAUCUCCUGCUGCAUGGUGGGGGUUGGAAAGUUUCGGCGGUUGGGGAUGGACUCGCGGCUUAUCAGCUUGUUGGUGGGGUAGUGGCUUACCAAGGCUUUGACGGGUAGCCGGCCUGAGAGGGUGACCGGCCACAUUGGGACUGAGAUACGGCCCAGACGCCUACGGGAGGCAGCAGUGGGGAAUAUUGCGGAGUGGGCGGAAGCCUGAUGCAGCAACGCCGCGUGCGGGAUGACGGCCUUCGGGUUGUAAACCGCUUUCGCCUGUGACGAAGCGUGAGUGACGGUAAUGGGUAAAGAAGCACCGGCUAACUACGUG